AUCAUCAGAUCGUGGGACUAUCUCCUAUGGCUACAUGGAAAAGAAAGCUGUCCUGAAUCCCCACGAGGCCCUGGCUCAGCCUCUUCCCACCACAGGCACACCGGGGUCAGAAG
rnacentral:sRNA from 1 species